rnacentral:misc_RNA from 1 species
AACUUUUAGCAAUGGAUCUCUGGGCUCUCGCAUCGAUGAAGGACGCGGCGAAAUGCGAUAAGUAAUGUGAAUUGCAGAUUUCAGUGAAUCAUCGAAUCUUUGAACGCACCUUGCGCUCCUAGGUCUUCCGAGGAGCAUGCCUGUUUGAGUGCCCAGAAUCAAUCUCGUCCUACACUUGUUGUGGGUCGGAAAUGGGAGCAUGCUGUCGACCCGUUCACAGCUCUUCCCAAAUAUGUUAGCUGUUGGUGAUGAACCACUGUAGGCUUGAUAUAACGUCUAUGCCGCAGUUGUACGUGUACCAUGGCUUAUAGUCGUCUUCGGACAAUAUUCUGAGCUCGGGCCUCAAAUCAGGUAGGACUACCCGCUGAACUUAAGCAUAUCAAUAAGCGGAGGCU